rnacentral:tRNA from 1 species
AUUUGAAUAGUUUAUAAUAAAACGUUAACUUGUGGCGUUAAAAAUACAAUUGAAAUUGUUUUAGAUC